UCUCUUUCUCUCUCGUCUCUCUGUCGGCCUGUCUCUGCAGCUCUGAAUAUUGGACCUCACAGACGAGGAAGCUGUGCCACAGAGAGGUUAAGAGAGCUGCUCAGCGGCGCAUCUAGGAAGCGAUGGAGCCAGGACCCGACCCCACGUGGCAGAGCACAAGCGCUUCACCGGCUGGAACACACGGCACAGGGCGUCCCAGAGAAUCCCACUUCUCCGAGACGAGAGAGCAGCACGCAUGCAAGAUGAUGGGAAAGGUCUGGCCGUAGAGAAGGAAAAGACAAAUGAUGCCAGAGACCUACUGGUGGCAUGUCCUGGAGUGAAGGAGAAGGGAUACUGAAAGGAUACAGCAUGACUUAUCGAACCAUACUCCUCUAUUACUGGAUAUUGAGAUUGUUUCUAAUACCUUAUCAUUAUAAGUAACCCUUCCACCUAAGAUGUCCCCUUGGCAACAUCAAAAUCCAACAUCUCUGCAGUUCUGUACACUUUGGGGGUAGGAGCUGUG